rnacentral:rRNA from 1 species
UACGGGGGGGGGUAAGCGUUGUUCGGAAUUACUGGGCGUAAAGGGCGCGUAGGCGGCUCGCUAAGUUGGAUGUGAAAACUCUGGGCUUAACCCAGAGCCUGCAUCCAAAACUGGCAAGCUUGAGUACUGGAGGGGAAAGCGGAAUUCCUGGUGUAGCGGUGAAAUGCGUAGAUAUCAGGAGGAACACCGGUGGCGAAGGCGGCUUUCUGGACAGUAACUGACGCUGAGGCGCGAAAGCUAGGGGAGCAAACAGG